UACCGGUUAGCUCAGCCGAUAGAGCAUCAGACUUUUCAUCUGAGGGUCGGGGGAUCACCCCCCCACAGCUGG
rnacentral:tRNA from 1 species